rnacentral:rRNA from 1 species
GACGAACGCUGGCGGCGCGCUUAACACAUGCAAGUCGAACGGAAAGGCCUGCUUUCCCUUGUGGAUUGCGGGUACUCGAGUGGCGAACGGGUGAGUAACACGUGAGUGAUCUGCCCCCAACUUGGGUAUAAGCCUGGGAAACUGGGUCUAAUUCCCGAUAGGACUGCAGGGUGGUGCCUGUGGUGGAAAACGAUUUUCUAGUGGUUGGGGAUGAGCUCGCGGCCUAUCAGCUUGUUGGUGGGGUAAUGGCCUACCAAGGCGGCGACGGGUAGCCGGCCUGGGAGGGUGGACGGCCACAUUGGGACUGAGAUACGGCCCAGACUCCUACGGGAGGCAGCGGUGGGGAAUAUUGCACAAUGGGCGGAAGCCUGAUGCAGCGACGCCGCGUGGGGGAUGACGGCCUUCGGGUUGUAAACUCCUUUCGACCGCGAGGAAGCCACCUGGUUGGAAGGGUGGUGACGGUAGUGGUAGAAGAAGCACCGGCUAACUACGUG